rnacentral:lncRNA from 10 species
GUUAGAUCACAAGUUUUGGAGACAGACAGCCCUGGGUUCCAGUGCCAUCUCUGCCACUUACCAGCUGUGCUACCUUGCACCUGCCUUAGAGAGCUCUUAGAGGGAUUAUCCGCAGCCUGAAGAAAGAAGGUUACAACUGAGGAAGAACUUCUGAACAGGGAAGAGUGGAAGAAAAGACUGCAGCUCAGCUCCAGAAGCAGACCCAGAAUGGCAUCCUUCUCUGAGACCCAGACCCCAGCCCCUUUUCAUGGAAGACCAGCACAAAGGAGGAAGUAGGUUAGGGAAUGGUAAGGCUCCAUGUGAUGGGACUAAUGUGGAGAGGCCUGGGGCCUUUCCCUGAGGACUGGAUGGCUGGAGUUUGGGAGCCUGAGUUGACAGAGGAGGCUAAGCCCGGGCAGCUACUUUGUUCCAGAAAUCUAAGGUCCCUGGAGGGAGGCUCUGCUUUGGGAGGGGGAAGGGAGCUAACAUUGCAGAGCACCAACUGUGAACCAGGUACAAUGGCAGAGCCUUUCCAUACCUGUACUCACAACUAGCGGGUGAGGAGUCAAGGCAAAUAGGUGUCUCAUAGCUCCCCAUAUCUCGGCAGUCGACCACCUCCUCCUUUGAUUCUCUGAUGUCACUGCCAGUUCUCCUCCUAUUGCUCUGACCUGUCUUUCUCUGUGUCCUUUGCAAACUCAUUCUCAACUCCUUAGACUCAGUCAAGUCCCCCAGUUACACACUUCCAUGGUACUAUAUAUCAUUCCUUCAGAGCACUUAACACAGUUAUUUCCUAUGUAUUUGUCCAGUCAUUUGAAUAAUGAUCCUAGUUUCAUUGGAUGGAAAGUUCCACAAGGUCAGUGACCAUUUCUAUCUGUGUUCACCAAUGUGUUCCCAGUGCC